rnacentral:rRNA from 1 species
AGGCGCGCGAUACAGGGUGACAGCCCCGUACACAAAAAUGCACAUGCUGUGAGCUCGAUGAGUAGGGCGGGACACGUGGUAUCCUGUCUGAAUAUGGGGGGACCAUCCUCCAAGGCUAAAUACUCCUGACUGACCGAUAGUGAACCAGUACCGUGAGGGAAAGGCGAAAAGAACCCCGGCGAGGGGAGUGAAAAAGAACCUGAAACCGUGUACGUACAAGCAGUGGGAGCACGCUUAGGCGUGUGACUGCGUACCUUUUGUAUAAUGGGUCAGCGACUUAUAUUCUGUAGCAAGGUUAACCGAAUAGGGGAGCCGAAGGGAAACCGAGUCUUAACUGGGCGUUAAGUUGCAGGGUAUAGACCCGAAACCCGGUGAUCUAGCCAUGGGCAGGUUGAAGGUUGGGUAACACUAACUGGAGGACCGAACCGACUAAUGUUGAAAAAUUAGCGGAUGACUUGUGGCUGGGGGUGAAAGGCCAAUCAAACCGGGAGAUAGCUGGUUCUCCCCGAAAGCUAUUUAGGUAGCGCCUCGUGAAUUCAUCUCCGGGGGUAGAGC